rnacentral:rRNA from 1 species
UACGAAGGGGGCUAGCGUUAUUCGGAAUAACUGGGCGUAAAGCGCACGUAGGCGUACUUGUAAGUUGGGGGUGAAAGCCUAGGGCUCAACCCUGGAACUGCCUCCGAUACUGCAAGUCUCGAGUCCGGGAGAGGUGAGUGGAAUUCCUAGUGUAGAGGUGAAAUUCGUAGAUAUUAGGAAGAACACCAGUGGCGAAGGCGGCUCACUGGCCCGGUACUGACGCUGAGGUGCGAAAGCGUAGGGAGCAAACAGG